AAGGCUAAAUACUUGCACGAGUCCGAUAGCGAACAAGUNCCGUGAGGGAAAGUUGAAAAGUACUUUGAAGAGAGAGUAAACAGUGCGUGAAACCGCUCAGAGGUAAACGGGUGGAGUUGAACUGCAAGCUCCGAGGAUUCAGCUGGUGAGAUUGGCAUGAGCUUGGUCAUGUGGGUUGUGUGUUCGGGUCUGCUUAGCUGCAGGUCCUCGCCUUUGGUGGGGAUGCGCGUAUCGCUUAUCAAGCGUUGUGCGCCCGGGCUUCUCGAGCCUUCUCGCUAGUGCACUUUCUCGGGGUGUUCACCACGACCGGCGUUGCUGUCUGGCUGGUGCGGUUAAACCGGUCUUGUAGGGUCCCUGUGGCCUUGCUUGGUCGGGAUGGCAGGUAGCCCGUUGUGUACUUCGGUGUGCUUCGGGUGUAAUAGCCGACUGCAUCGGUUCUGUGCGGUACGUCGGAGACGGCGGCUUGUUGUGCGUGCGGGCGUGCCUGUUGCGCUGGCGGCUCUGAGUCUGGUUGCCUUGUUGCUUGUAAAUGCAGGCCUAGUGAUGGCUCGGGGUCGUUUGGUGUGCGGUUGCGUUCGUGGCACUUUAAAGGGCCUAAAGUCUGUGGUGUAGUGGUAGACUAUCCACCUGACCCGUCUUGAAACACGGACCAAGGAGAGUAACAUGUGCGCGAGUCAUUGGGCGUUACGAAACCCAAAGGCGAAGUGAAAGUAAAGGUUCGGCUUGUCCGGACUGAGGUGAGAUCCUGUCGUUUCUCACGCCUGGUACUACCAAGCAUCGAGCGGCGGGCGCAUCACCGGCCCGUCCCAUGGCGUAGUGGCGGCCUUGUGCCUGCUCAUCGUCGGGGCGGAGCAUGAGCGUACAUGUUGAGACCCGAAAGAUGGUGAACUAUGCUUGCGCAGGUUGAAGCCAGAGGAAACUCUGGUGGAGGACCGCAGCGAUUCUGACGUGCAAAUCGAUCGUCAAACGUGAGUAUAGGGGCGAAAGACUAAUCG
rnacentral:rRNA from 1 species